rnacentral:lncRNA from 1 species
UGAGGAUUAAAAAUAUAUACACAAAAAUAUGAGUAGAGGAGUAAAAACAUGACAUUUACCCUGUAUAUUACAAAGAUUUCAGUCUCAAAUCCCCAACUAACAUAAAGAAACUGCAUCUAACACUUAAUACAUUCACCAUUUCUCAAUUUAAUAUCUUUAGAUUCUUGAACAUCUUUUUUUACUGCAUAGUUUCUUUUUCUGUUUGCCACGGAUCUCUUCUUGCUUGGCUCUGUCUCUCGCCCAUGUUUUGGCUUGAAAAGCCUCAUAUUGGUGAAGGCAUGACCUUGUUUGUCAGAGAAAAAAGAUAGUCAAAGACAUGACAUCAACAGAAAAACAUAGAAGACUAACGAGUUUAAAUAAAAAGAGAAGAAAGACAAACCUAUAGAUCUUUCGUGAAACCGUCAAUGGUGGCAGAGUUUUGAAGAAACAUAGUCACUUUUUUAUUAGAGAGAAGUCGAGAGAUGUGAAACUGUAAAUCAGUCUACA